AUGUGUCAGUUCAUUCAUUAAUACAAUGUGAGACUGCGGAAGGCUCAGUAAAUCAGUUAUUAUCUAUUCGAAAGUACACCCAUUGGAUAACCGUGGGAAAUCUAGAGCUAAUACAUGUGUUAAAGGCGUGAUGGCAACAUUGCGUCUGCAUUUAUUUGCAAAAACCAAACGCUCUGUGGUUAUGAAAAUAGUCAUGGAGUAGGGUGAGUCUAGAUAACUGAGCAAAUCGCAUGGCCUUGAGCCGGCGAUGUUUCGAUUGAAUUUCUGCCCUAUCAACUUGUUGGUAAGGUAGUGGCUUACCAAGGUUGCAACGGGUAACGGGGGAUCAGGGUUUGAUUCCGGAGAGGGAGCCUGAGAAACGGCUACCACAUCCAAGGAAGGCAGCAGGCGCGCAAAUUACCCAAUCCAGACAAUGGGAGGUGGUGACCAGAAGUACUCGGUAGUGGACAAAUGUUCGCUGACCUGAGAAUGAGCAUAAAGUAAAAAGUUAGUCGAGUAACAACUGGAGGGCAAGUCUGGUGCCAGCAGCCGCGGUAAUUCCAGCUCCAGUAGCAUGUCGUAAAGUUGUUGCGUUUAAAACGCUCGUAGUUGGAUCAUACAGUGACGAAAAGCUGAUGUGCGUUUGUAGACUAAUUAAGCGGAGAUGUUGUUUGGUCAGGUAAACUGACUAGAUGGAUCUACUGUGGUUUACAGCGUAUGUUGUUUGCUGGUCGUUGCUACUUGCACGCUAGAAUAACGAAUGGCCUUUAGUGAGCUGAGCGUUGUGUCUGGCGGAGUGUGCCUUGAAUAAAUCAAAGUGCUCAAAGCAGGCUGUUGCCUGAAUGUUACAGCAUGGAACGAACAAACGUGAAGAGUGCGUUGCUGGUUUUGAUUGAAACUAGUGAUGCAUUUCACCAACCACCAUGACGGAUGUUGGUUUCCGUAAUGGGGUGAUGAUUAAAACGAGCGGUUGGGGGCAUUGGUAUUUGGCCGCGAGAGGUGAAAUUCUUAGACCGGCCAAGGACUAACAAAAGCGAAGGCAUUUGUCAAGACCGUCUCGAUUGAUCAAGAACGAUAGUGGAAGGUUCGAAGAUGAUCAGAUACCAUUGUAGUUUCCACCAUAAACUAUGCCGACCCGGGAUCAGUUUAGAGCUAAAAUCAACGCUCCAGGUUGGUCCCCCUGGGAAACCUCAAGUUUUUGGGUUACGGGGGGAGUAUGGUCGCAAGGCUGAAACUUAAAGGAAUUGACGGAAGGGCACCACCAGGGGUGGAGCCUGCGGCUUAAUUUGACUCAACACGGGAAAACUCACCGGUUCCGGACGUUAAAAGGAUAGACAGACUGAUAGAUCUUUCUUGAUAUGAUGUGUGGUGGUGCAUGGCCGUUCUUAGUUCGUGGAGUGAUCUGUCAGACUAAUUUCGGUAACGAACGAGAUCAGAGUCUCUAUUUACAAAGCAGAAUGAAGCGUCUAGUACGCUUCCUACUAUUGUCAGUAGUUGUAGGUUCACUUACAAUCACUGACAAUUUAUCACUUUUGCUAUGUUGCAUGCAGUAAAAUGUGUGUGACUGCAUAGAGAGACAACUGACUAUAAUUAUAAAAUCAGAGGAAGUCUGGCAAUAACAGGUCUGUGAUGCCCUUAGACGUACCGGGCUGCACGCGCGCUACAAUGAUAACGGCAGCGAGCUAAUCUGGGCCGAAAGGCUUGGGAAAUCUUGAAUCGUUAUCGUGAUGGGGAUUGUUCAUUGUAAGUUGGACAUGAAAUAGGAAUCCCUUGUACGUGCGCUUCAUCUAGAGCGCGCGGAAUGAGUCCCUGCCCUUUGUACACACCGCCCGUCGCUACUACCGAGUGAAUGGCGUCAUGAUGCGUUGGGA
rnacentral:rRNA from 1 species